UUUAAUAUGGCAGAGUAAGUGCAAUGAAUUUAAGAUUCAUAAAUAAAAUAUAUUUUUUUUUAUUAAAA
rnacentral:tRNA from 1 species